UUUAUUUUCUAUUUUGAAAUCUGUGUUUUUAGUGCUAACUGUAAAUCACUUUCAAUAAUUACUGAUUUGACUAGCCAGUGGUUAUAUUUUUGUCAAUGACUGUGUUUUGUUAGUAAUUGUCCUUGUAUUUCUUUGAUAUUUCAAUCAAAUUCCGCCACGUCGUAGUCAUGAUGCAAUCGAAGAAAGUGAGUGUUGGAAACUCAACUCUGAUAUUUUUAGUCAGGAUUGGCCACGUCGUAACCCACUUGUAGUCCCCAAACAUAUAGGCCAUGGACCUACUUCGAAAAUUGUGAUUUUUCAUGCGUCUAUCGAGGAAGCAAAGAGUUUUCUAACCAUCAUUGAUCUUGCUGCUGUAGUAGUACUUAUAUAUAUAUAUAUAUAUAUCAACUUUAGUAUGUAUGUCAAUCGUAUAACUUAAUAUUGCAAAUUAAUAAGAAAAUCGAUUAUUUUAUCUUGAGUGAA